CACGGUCUGGGAUUGGACCGCAGAUCCUUUACUAGAUCGCAGCAGCCAACCACCGCCAAACCAUCUCAACCCUCCAACCCACCCAAUCCCAUCCGUCCAUUUUUCGAUUACUACUUCUCCACUUCCUUCUUAUAUUUUCCUCCCACUUUAACCUAUUCCCCUCUUUCCCUCUCUCUCCUCACAUCACCCAGUAGCCGUUUUCCUCCACAAACCCUCACUUAGAGAGAGAGAGAGAUAAUAAGUGAUGGACUCAGACCAGGGAAAGCUCUUCAUCGGCGGGAUUUCGUGGGAGACCACCGAGGAGAAGCUGAAGGACUACUUCGAGUCCUACGGCGCGGUCUUGCAGACCGUUAUCAUGAGAGACAAGCUCACUGGGAAGCCAAGGGGGUUUGGGUUCGUCGUGUUUGCAGAUCCGUCGGUCCUCGAUAGGGUUCUUCAGGACGCGCACACCAUUGACGGCCGAACUGUUGAGGCUAAGAGGGCCUUAUCAAGGGGUGAACAACAGCCUUCCUCCAGGUCUGGACAUAAUAAUAAUGCUAGAAACUUUGGAAGUGGCGGAGAAACCAAGACCAAGAAAAUAUUUGUUGGAGGCUUGCCACCUACUUUGAGCGAGGAAGGAUUUCGUCAGUAUUUUGAGUCUUAUGGUAAUGUGACGGAUGUGGUAGUUAUGUAUGAUCAGCAAACCCAACGACCUCGUGGAUUUGGGUUUGUUUCCUUUGAUGACGAGGAUGCAGUCGAUAGGGUUUUGCACAAGACAUUCCAUGAUUUAGACGGUAAGCAAGUGGAAGUCAAGCGUGCUCUGCCUAAAGAUUCCAACCCUGGCGGUGGUGGCAGUGGCCGUUCCAUGGGUGGAGGUGCUGGGGGUGGUGGUGGUGGUUAUCAGGGUUACAGUGCUUCUGGCGGCAACUCUGGUUCUUAUGAUGGUCGAGUGGAUUCUUCCAACAGGUACAUGCAAUCGCAGAAUACUGGAGGUGGGUUCCCACCUUAUGCUUCUUCUGGGUAUAAUGCUCCUGGUUAUGGAUAUGGUCCUUCAAAUAACAGCAUGGGUUAUGGUGGUUAUGGAAGUUAUGGUGGCCCCGGAGCUGCGGGAUACGGAAACCCAAAUGUCCCUAGUGCUGGUUAUGGAAGUGGUCCACCGGGGGCCCCACGGAGUUCAUGGAGCUCUCAGGCUCCCUCUGGCUAUGGUGCUGUUGGACCCACGGGUCAAUCUCCUGGCGGAGGAGCUUCUGGGUAUGGCGCCCAAGGGUAUGGUUAUGGUGGGUAUGGUGGGUCAGAUGGGUCUUAUGCAAAUCAAGCCGCGUAUGGUGCUGUUGGAGGGCGCGCAGGGAGUGUCCCAAAUAGCAAUGCUCCUGGUAGUGGUGCUGGAGAGAUGCAGGGUGGUGGUGGGGGCUACAUGGGAGGUAGCUAUGGCGAUGCCAAUGGGAAUGUAGGGUAUGGAAAUCAAGGAUGGACCUCUCAAGCUUCUGGAAAUUAUGGAGCUCAGGCAAAUUCGCAAGGCGGGCCAGUUGGAUAUGGUAGUGGUUAUGGUGGUGCUCCAACACGACAGGCUCAACAGCAAUGAUUGGAUGGCUUUAUUCCAUCUUGGACUUUGGACCUUUUUGCUCUGAAGAUAUCCAUCAAGGCUAUUGUCCCAUGUCUUCCAGAAAGGAGGGGAUGGCUCUUGUUGGAUGUCGUCCACACAUUAAACUGGAGAGAGAAAGAUGCCCAAGUUCUGAAGUGGUCAUAGUUGACCUAAUGAUGGCAGUCAUAUUUCCGGAAUCAUCCCAUUUCUUGUUUGGAAUCUCUCACAUUCUUCAUUCGGGUUGUGGUGAGCUGAUGGAUUUUUCAAAGCUGAACAAACAGCAAACCGGCACACAACUGAACUGAAACUGGAGAAAAACAGAAGCUUAGUCCUUAUUUUGUUUCAGAAGGGAGUUUGUAAAGGAGGCUGCGACAUUAAAUCGGCUGGUAUUACUGGAAGGGGAGGUGAUGUGGAAAUCGGUGACUUAAGGUGAGAAAGCAACUGUGCGAGUUUGGGGCACGUUUGGUCUUGGCUUAGUUUAUUUCCUCCCUGUAUUUCUUGUCUUUUCGUGUUAAUAUUUGGGUUGUUUGCUCCCUCGGCACUUUAUCUAGUGCAAUCUCUUGUUGCUUACAAAGGAGGUGGUGAAACCGGGGGAGAAAUUUAUAGAACAAGUGUAUAUGCAUUUGGGGGAUUUUUUUUUUUUUGCCCCCGUGCUAAAAUCAUGCUGGACGCAACUCAACUUUGGCUCAUUCUCUCAAGCCUUUUGAGUUACUUGGGCGCAAUGGCGAGUUUUAUUUCCUCUUCGCUCUGUGAGUCUGGUUAUACCAGUCUACGACCAUGGUUCGAGUUGUGGAAAUCAGUCUCUUCGUGAAGUUUUGGACAGGCUUCCUACGGUUCUUGAUUGGGAUCAAGAAUGAACUCAAAAUUAAAGCUCAUCUAUUCACUUAGUUUGUGACUCUACACACUUGAGCAAAUCCCGACCUUUUCCUUGUUUUUUUUUUUAAGGUGGGAAUAAUAUCGUAGGUCCCAGAAUUGGGACCGUAGUGUUUGUAAGAUUGUUUUAACAUGUAAGUGAGAACAGUAUAUAUUUGUUCGAGUAAAUCCUAAUAUUGAUGAUCUUGAAAAA